UACGAAGGGUGCAAGCGUUAAUCGGAAUUACUGGGCGUAAAGCGCGCGUAGGUGGUUCAGCAAGUUGGAUGUGAAAGCCCUGGGCUCAACCUGGGGGCUGCAUUUGAUACGUGUGAUCUAGAGUGAGGAAGAGGGUCGUGGAAUUCCCAGUGUAGAGGUGAAAUUCGUAGAUAUUGGAAGGAACACCAGUGGCGAAGGCGGCUACCUGGACUGAUACUGACACUGAGGUGCGAAAGCGUGGGGAGCAAA
rnacentral:rRNA from 1 species